UACGUAGGGGGCGAGCGUUGUCCGAAUUUACUGGGCGUAAAGAGCGCGUAGGCGGGUUCUUAAGUGAGAGGUGAAAGGUUCAGGGCUCAACCCGAACAGUGCCUUUCAUACUGGGAGCCUUGAGUGUGGGAGAGGCGAGUGGAAUUUCUGGUGUAGCGGUGAAAAUGCGUAGAUAUCAGAAGGAACACCCAUGGCGAAGGCAAUCCCCUGGACCUGUACUGACGCUCAUGCACGAAAGCGUGGGGAGCAAACAGG
rnacentral:rRNA from 1 species